CCAAUAGAGUUUAUUGGCAUUCUGUCCACCUCCCCUCCUUUCUUCAAAUCUUUCUAUUCAAAUUUUUGUUAUUCUUUAAAAGAAAAAAUUGAUUUAUAAUAUUGGGGGAGGUGGGCAUACUGCCAACUGAGUUCUGUUGG
rnacentral:pre_miRNA from 2 species